ACGUAGGAGGCGAGCGUUAUCCGGAUUUACUGGGUGUAAAGCGCGUGUAGGCGGUCCUGCAAGUGGCGCGUGAAAGCGCCCGGCUCAACCGGGCGAGGACAUGACCGAACUGCGGGGCUAGAGGCAGGUAGAGGCGUGUGGAAUUCCGGGUGUAGUGGUGAAAUGCGUAGAGAUCCGGAGGAACACCAGUGGCGAAGGCGACACGCUGGGCCUGACCUGACGCUGAGAGGCGAAAGCAUGGGGAGCGAACGGGAUUAGAUACCCGUGUA
rnacentral:rRNA from 1 species